AACGAACGCUGGCGGCAGGCUUAACACAUGCAAGUCGAGCGAGGACUUCGGUCCUAGCGGCGGACGGGUGAGUAACGCGUGGGAACGUGCCCUUCUCUACGGAAUAGUCCCGGGAAACUGGGUUUAAUACCGUAUACGCCCUUCGGGGGAAAGAUUUAUCGGAGAAGGAUCGGCCCGCGUUGGAUUAGGUAGUUGGUGGGGUAAUGGCCUACCAAGCCGACGAUCCAUAGCUGGUUUGAGAGGAUGAUCAGCCACACUGGGACUGAGACACGGCCCAGACUCCUACGGGAGGCAGCAGUGGGGAAUCUUAGACAAUGGGGGAAACCCUGAUCUAGCCAUGCCGCGUGAGUGACGAAGGCCUUAGGGUCGUAAAGCUCUUUCGCUGGGGAAGAUAAUGACGGUACCCAGUAAAGAAUCCCCGGCUAACUCCGUGCCAGCAGCCGCGGUAAUACGGAGGGGGUUAGCGUUGUUCGGAAUUACUGGGCGUAAAGCGCACGUAGGCGGGCUGUUAAGUCGGGGGUGAAAUCCCGGGGCUCAACCCCGGAACUGCCUUCGAUACUGGCAGCCUUGAGUUCGAGAGAGGUGAGUGGAAUUCCGAGUGUAGAGGUGAAAUUCGUAGAUAUUCGGAGGAACACCAGUGGCGAAGGCGGCUC
rnacentral:rRNA from 1 species